UACGUAGGCAGCAAGCGUUGUUCGGAAUUACUGGGCGUAAAGAGUGUGUAGGCGGUGCUCUAAGUUCGGUGUGAAAUCUCCUGGCUUAACUGGGAGGGUGCGCCGAAAACUGGAGUGCUCGAGCGUGGGAGAGGAAAGCGGAAUUCCUGGUGUAGCGGUGAAAUGCGUAGAUAUCAGGAGGAACACCUGUGGUGUAGACGGCUUUCUGGACCAUAGCUGACGCUGAGACACGAAAGCGUGGGUAGCAAACAGG
rnacentral:rRNA from 1 species